UAUUCCUUUACAUGUUAUAUGUUAAGCUCUACCGGGCAAUCUGUAUGUUAUAACUUUUUUUUUCACAAGUGUCCGAUCACUUUGCGGUCUUCGGCAAAGUUUUUCGGCAUAUCCUAGGCAAUACUUCAACGUCAUUAGUUAGAUUGUUUUAGACGAAAAAUUUCAAUUUAUGAGGAAAAUGUCAAAACGCACAUUUUCUCAUAAUAAAUUCCAUACAAAUUUCAGUCGCAAUGCGGAAUACGGGGAAGUAAUAAAUCGCUCCCAAAUUUUGCACAGUUGUUUUGGACGCCAAAAGGAAUCGAAAAAGCACAGACAAACAGACGUAACACUUCGAACAUUUUUCGAUUUAAAUCAUAGUCACGGAAACAUAUUCGCCCAAUGCUAAAAGCACUAAGUUUGGCCGACCAUCAACUAGGUGGCGGUAGUGAGCAAACGUCAAACUCGAACAAAAACGAUACGAGCGCCACGGGUGGGCAGUUGGCCAACAACCAUAUUUUGAAAAAGACCGAUAAAUCGGUGUACGAUGGAAAUUAUCAGAGUGUUACGUCUGUUUGUCUGUGGAAAAAGCUUUGUUCCAAAAAAAUCGACUUUGUUGACCCAGUCUAUUACAUAUUGAUACAAAAUUUAUAAUUUGCUGAUUCUGGGUAAUGGUCAUGCUAUUGAUUUAAAUUGGCUUGAACUUUAGUAAGUCUUUUUAGGGUGACUGGAUAUUAUCGACAGGUUUGUUCUCUUCGUUAUGAGGGGCUUGGUUGGGAAAGAUUUGAGGCCAACUUUGAAU